rnacentral:snoRNA from 1 species
CUUCGACUAUCACAGAGUCUCUGGGAAGAGACUUUAGUAGCCAUGCUUAUCAAAUCGAUUAAAGGUGCCUUGAUCUGGACAGGGGGCUUCCAAUGGCCUCCCUGUAUAUGAAAUGACUGCACAGUAAGCC